rnacentral:lncRNA from 1 species
GUUUUAUUAAAACUCCACCAAACACUGCUUGAUUAUGUUUAGGAUAACAAGCUAGCCCAGCUUGACGUAGUUGGCUCAGCACAAGCCAUUAACAAAGGCUGAAAUGGCCAGUCAUCAACCCAUUAAAAGAAGCCAUCACAAGUCUGGAGACUGCCAGGCACACAAGGGGAGGUUGCCAAGGGGCAAUGAAGUAAGCAGAAGAGGAAGUCACAUUUGGCAAGGGUUUCUGGGAAGAAAAAGGAGGAGGAUAGGCAGAAGCCAUGCAGGUGACUGGAGCAGGCUGAUGGCACAGAGGCAC